GACGAACGCUGGCGGCGUGCUUAACACAUGCAAGUCGAACGGAAAGGCCCUGCUUGCAGGGUGCUCGAGUGGCGAACGGGUGAGUAACACGUGGGUGAUCUGCCCCUUACUUUGGGAUAAGCCUGGGAAACUGGGUCUAAUACUGGAUAGGACCAUGCUGUAGGUGGUGUGGUGGACAGAUUAGUUUCGGUAAGGGAUGAGCUCGCGGCCUAUCAGCUUGUUGGUGGGGUAAUGGCCUACCAAGGCGUCGACGGGUAGCCGGCCUGAGAGGGUGGACGGCCACAUUGGGACUGAGAUACGGCCCAGACUCCUACGAGAGGCAGCAGUGGGGAAUAUUGCACAAUGGGCGCAAGCCUGAUGCAGCGACGCCGCGUGGGGGAUGACGGCCUUCGGGUUGUAAACUCCUUUCAGCCAUGACGAAGCCCUUGUGGUGACGGUAGUGGUAGAAGAAGCACCGGCUAACUACGUG
rnacentral:rRNA from 1 species